UUUGGGUCCGAUUCAAACCUAAGUUUUUAAAUUACGAUUCGAACCCCAAAACUCCACAACUCCAAGCAAUUGCAGAAACCCAAACUCGCCUUUGCCUCCCUCAUGCCAUCGCCGAGACAAGACAAAUAGGACUCUAUCUACAGAGGAAAUGGCCGUCUUCCUACUAAAUCUUAUAACAUUCCUCUUUCUACCACAACUCCAGGCAAUUGCAGCAGCAGCACAAGCUCCAGGCAAGUGCAGUGGCUGCUGCGGCGACGGUCUGGUGAUCCGGCCGCCGUUCCGUCUUAAACCCCGUCGUGAUGAUCAUCAGGCUGCUGCAGCAGGAGGCGAUGACUGUGCCUUGCCCCGUUACUACCUUUCUGAAACUGCUAGAGCUCUCCCCCUCUCUGAAACUGCCAGUCAAGUAUAUCGACUAUGCAUCACACGUUAUCCACACUUCUUAUCCUGAUCUUGACUGCUUUGCCAAACACUUUCCAGACACCAUCAAUCCGUCUUCUUGUGACCUUGUCCCUUCGGAUUCGCAGAAGAUUACCGUUUAAGUGACUUCAGCAUCUUCAACUGGUCAUCCACAAUGCCGGACAGCUACUCGUCUGGCUACCUUAGCGACCCCAUUCGCAAUGUUUAUGCUAUACCUUCGGACGCCUCCUUCGCGUCUUAUCCCAUGUUUUCCUCCAAAAAGAUGUGCGAAAUUUAUUCAUUUCCAGAUAUUUCCGAUUCAUCUCAUCGUGAGCUUAGAUUCAAAUGGUCCCAAGUCGCUUGUCAACCUCGAAUGUGUCCCCCAGAAAUCAGCCCUAGCCAACGCAAAACUGCAAAUUUGCUCUGAGGCUUAUUUCUUCUUCCCGUAACAAUUCUAGCAUUGUACUGUUUCUUGAGCAGGAUUAAAAUAAAAAAAGAUGAUCAAGCAAUUUUUGGAACACUAUAGAAGUCGCAAGCCUGCAAGAUAUAUUAGAGUAUUUUAGUUGUUUAGUUUUGUUGUAAUUUUGUACUGUUAUUUUUCAUUCCUGAUGUUGAACACACAAUGGCAGUUAUGUCAUUUUAAUGUAUUAGUUCUAGGAAUAUUUAAUAGAGGGUUGAAACCCAGAUGGGUUAAUGAGACAUUUUAUAUUUCUCU